rnacentral:rRNA from 1 species
UACGAGUGCCCCAAGCCGUAUCCGGAAUUAUUGGGCGUAAGGGUUUGUAGGUGGUUCUAUUAGUCUCUGUUAAAGCUCUCGGCUCAACCGGGAAAGUGCAGGGGAAACGGUAGAACUAGAGGAUGCGAGAGGUGUGUGGAACUCAUAGUGUAGGGGUAAAAUCCCGUUGAUAUUAUGGGGAACACCAAAAGCGAAGGCAGCACACUGGCGCACUCCUGACACUGAAAAACGAAAGCGUGGGUAGCGAAUGG